AUGUCAUCUACACAGCGAGGUCUAGUCAAACCAAGAUUUGUACUGAAGUUCCCCAGCUUUAGGCUAAUUCUUCUUUAAUAUAGAAUGAAGGAGUGCUACGGGGUUGAAUUAUGAAAGCUUAAGACCAACCAAGCCCCUUAUUCAAGGGACACAGUAAGAGGUGUGAAUCCCAAGAGCAGCGUGUCUGCAACACAACAACUUCUCCUGGUAAUGGCUCCUGGUGGAUCAUUUGUAUUUUCCUUGCACAAACUGAGUGGAUGCUCGGGAAAGUGUUUAUAAAGUGAAUACCACAUAAGCUGCUCAAUGUUUAAAUGGACUCAUCUAUAUAUACAGGCUGAAGAAUUUAGUGGAAGCAGCAAAGAAACUACAUAAUGGCUGCAUUUGGAUUUGAAGGUUCCAUAAAGAUAUAUUUCUCAAGAAGAAAGCUCCUAGGCACAGAGAAGUGUCCUUGGUACUGAAGCCCCUGGGUUCUAAGUGAUAGCUCUUUCUGGAAUAUUAAAGCUAACCAGUGAUGAAGAGGUAAUACAUGACUUAAAAUGUUGUUGUACAUACAAUCUUAAUUGUAUUACAAUUUUGUACAAUAAAUCCCCAUGAAUCUUAAA